CUUUUAUCUAAACGACCGGUCCAGGAAGCUAGCAAAUAUAAAUAAACAACUUUCUGAAUUGAUCGAUCCCAGACUCCGUUAUAUUUAUAGUAUGGAAAAUUCGAUGCCAAUUCUGCUAAUCCUCUGGUUUUGCUUUUAAUGAUCUCAAGAGCUUCUAAAAUUUCUUCCUGAUUUUCUAAAUCUUCCAAAGUUAGUCCAUGUUCUUUUUCUUGUAAAUUUUCAUUUCUACUUUGUUCACAGUUUGCCAAGAGAAGUUGCAAAACUCUUAACUUUUCGUCUAACAAAUCGACCUCUGCAGUCAGUUUCUGUAAUGUUAGUUUGUCAUAAUUUCCAAGAUUAGUACCUCCCGAAUACUAUGUUCUUUAUCAAUUUGAUCUUGUAGCUGAAUAAAUAUUGAUUUAUUCAUUCG